GCCAGGUGUGGUGGUGGGCACCUGAAAUCCCAGCUACUUGGGAGGCCGAGGCAAGAGAAUCGCUUGAACCUGGGAGGCGGAGGUUGCAAUGAGCUGAGAUCACACCACUGCACUCCAGCCUGGGCAACAGACUCCAUCUCANNNNNNNNNNUGAGAUGGAGUCUGUUGCCCAGGCUGGAGUGCAGUGGUGUGAUCUCAGCUCAUUGCAACCUCCGCCUCCCAGGUUCAAGCGAUUCUCUUGCCUCGG
rnacentral:SRP_RNA from 1 species